rnacentral:rRNA from 1 species
UACGGGGGGGGCAAGCGUUGUUCGGAAUUCCUGGGCGUAAAGGGCUCGUAGGUGGCCCACUAAGUCAGACGUGAAAUCCCUCGGCUUAACCGGGGAACUGCGUCUGAUACUGGAUGGCUUGAGUUUGGGAGAGGGACGCGGAAUUCCAGGUGUAGCGGUGAAAUGCGUAGAUAUCUGGAGGAACACCGGUGGCGAAGGCGGCAUCCUGGACCGACACUGACACUGAGGAGCGAAAGCCAGGGGAGCAAACGGG